ACCGGAGUGAACGCACCACUGGUGUUCGGGUUGUCAUGCCAAUGGCAUUGCCCGGUAGCUAAGUGCGGAAGAGAUAACCGCUGAAAGCAUCUAAGCGGGAAACUUGCCUCGAGAUGAGUCUUCCCUGUCACCUUGAGUGACCUAAAGGAGCGUUUAAGACUAAGACGUUGAUAGGCUGGGUGUGUAAGCGUAGCGAUACGUUGAGCUAACCAGUACUAAUGAACCGUGAGGCUUAACCUGACACACCGAAGGUGUU
rnacentral:rRNA from 1 species